rnacentral:rRNA from 1 species
UACGGGGGGGGCAAGCGUUGUUCGGAAUUACUGGGCGUAAAGGGCUCGUAGGCGGCCAACUAAGUCAGACGUGAAAUCCCUCGGCUUAACCGGGGAACUGCAUCUGAUACUGGAUGGCUUGAGAUUGGGAGAGGGAUGCGGAAUUCCAGGUGUAGCGGUGAAAUGCGUAGAUAUCUGGAGGAACACCGGUGGCGAAGGCGGCAUCCUGGACCAAUACUGACGCUCAGGCACGAAAGCGUGGGGAGCAAACAGG